rnacentral:rRNA from 1 species
AGAACGAACGCUGGCGGCAUGCCUAAUACAUGCAAGUCGAACGAACACUUCGGUGUUAGUGGCGCACGGGUGCGUAACGCGUGGGAAUCUGCCCUUGGGUUCGGAAUAACAGUUGGAAACGACUGCUAAUACCGGAUGAUAUCGAAAGAUCAAAGAUUUAUCGCCCAGGGAUGAGCCCGCGUAGGAUUAGCUAGUUGGUGAGGUAAAGGCUCACCAAGGCGACGAUCCUUAGCUGGUCUGAGAGGAUGAUCAGCCACACUGGGACUGAGGCACGGCCCAGACUCCUACGGGAGGCAGCAGUAGGGAUAUUGGACAAUGGGCGCAAGCCUGAUCCAGCAAUGCCGCGUGAGUGAUGAA